rnacentral:rRNA from 1 species
GAUGAACGCUGGCGGCGUGCCUAAUACAUGCAAGUCGAGCGAACAGACGAGGAGCUUGCUCCUCUGACGUUAGCGGCGGACGGGUGAGUAACACGUGGAUAACCUACCUAUAAGACUGGGAUAACUUCGGGAAACCGGAGCUAAUACCGGAUAAUAUAUUUAACCGCAUGGUUCAAUAGUGAAAGACGGUUUUGCUGUCACUUAUAGAUGGAUCCGCGCCGCAUUAGCUAGUUGGUAAGGUAACGGCUUACCAAGGCAACGACGCGUAGCCGACCUGAGAGGGUGAUCGGCCACACUGGAACUGAGACACGGUCCAGACUCCUACGGGAGGCAGCAGUAGGGAAUCUUCCGCAAUGGGCGAAAGCUUGACGGAGCAACGCCGCGUGAGUGAUGAAGGUCUUCGGAUCGUAAAACUCUGUUAUUAGGGAAGAACAAAUGUGUAAGUAACUAUGCACGUCUUGACGGUACCUAAUCAGAAAGCCACGGCUAACUACGUG